AUAUUUUUGAAUUAAGUUAUUCAUAAUAUAUUUCAGACAAAAUAAUUAAAAUAAAGAGUUGAUAAUGAAAAAACAUUGCACACAAGGUGGAUAUGGAUUGUUUUAAAAGUGCCAUAAAACACUUUUAUUAUGAAUGAUCCUUCCGCAGGUUCACCUACGGAAA
rnacentral:misc_RNA from 1 species